AAAACUUUUAGGGCCCUUGACUUGUCGAUUAUAUUUUGCGCAGUAAGGGUGACAUAUAGCUUACAGAACAUUUCUUUCCACGUCAAAUAUUAGCUGGAAAUUGCUACGUCCUCCUGACGUUGGCAACGACAAUGGCGAGCUGUGGUCUGCCUUCGGCGAGUCUAAAGAGUUGUUCUGCACUUCGAAUUCCCGUCCACUAUCUGAAAUUUCUUAACCACGAGGCUGUAUGUGAACUACAUAGGACACCUUUUGGCAUUUUACUGUUGUUAGUAGUUUGGGGACUUGCUCUAUUCAAAACCUUCCUUCAUUUGUCUGCAUGGAAAUUGGAGCAUACGUCUAUGUAGCAACAUUUCAAAUGCUUCAAGAUGAUUAAUGGUUGCUGCUUUUAAGGUCCAAAUCUCUGCUCUAUACAACAGUAUGGACCAUAUGUAGCAUUUAAUCAUUCUAUGGCGGAGUUUUAAAUUUAGAUUAUUAUUGCAGAAAAGUGAUGUCAUUUUUUGGAAAGGUUACGCGAGGCGAUUCGAUUCUGCACUUGACCUCUUUAUCCAGGUCGAGAUGCUCUGCAAUGUAACAAACAAGAUCUUGUUAAUGGUCUGACUAUUUUUUAUUUCAUACAGCUUUGUGGAUUGACACAUUUAAAAAAUAAACUAUUUUUCAAUUGUUCAGUAUUCCGUUAAUCUUAUCUGGCCAUGCAACACCGGUUUAAAUAUUUUAUCAGAAUAUAGAUUAAAAAAUAGUGAAGACGAUAUACAUCUCUGUCUCACGCCAUGCCGAAUCUGGCAUUCGUUAGUUAGUUUUCCAUUUACCCGAACCACCGCCUUAUGUCACCAAUACAGCUUCUUAAUAAAUACAGCUCCUCAAAAUAUCUAUAUGUUUUUCAUGUUGUAUCCUGUCGAGUGCUUUCUCGUAGCAUUAGUGUAUAAAGCAUACGAAAAUGUCUUUACGUUGAUAGUGAUUUUGAAGAAGUAAAAAUUGUUUCCCGGGUACCAAGAACGUGUUGAAAACCAAAUUGGUUUUCGUUCAGAUCACUUUCACUGUUUUUUAACGAAGACUGUCAAAAUGAUGAGAACUUACAAAAGUAUGACAGAGAAUGAUUGGAGCACGGUUGAUGAUGAAAGAAGCCCUUCAAGCGUUACCAGCUUAUUGUGCAGAGGGAUAGCCAAAGCCGUUUGCUACAUUUUAUCGACACGUUGUCAAAAUAAAAAAUGGAAAGAAACGAAUAAAUUUUAAAUGUGGUUUCGAAUUUUGA